rnacentral:rRNA from 1 species
UUGCCUCAGUAACGGCGAGUGAAGCGGCAACAGCUCAAAUUUGAAAUCUGGCUCCUUCGGGGCCCGAGUUGUAAUUUGCAGAGGAUGCUUCGGGUACGGGUUCCUUCCGAGUUCCCUGGAACGGGACGCCAUAGAGGGUGAGAGCCCCGUCUGGUAGGACACCCAGCCCGUGUGAAGCUCCCUCGACGAGUCGAGUAGUUUGGGAAUGCUGCUCUAACGGGAGGUAUACUCCUUCCAAGGCUAAAUACCGGCUGGAGACCGAUAGCGCACAAGUAGAGUGAUCGAAAGAUGAAAAGCACUUUGAAAAGAGAGUCAAAUAGCACGUGAAAUUGUUGAAAGGGAAGCGCUCGCUACCAGACAUGGGUUCGGCGGUUCAACCGGGGCCACGCCCCGGGGCACUCCGCCGGCCCAGGCCAGCAUCAGCUUUCCGUCGGGGGCAAAGGCGUCGGGAAUGUGGCUCUCCUUCGGGGGAGUGUUAUAGCCCGGCGUGUCAUACCCUUCGGGGGGCUGAGGUACGCGCUUCUGCAAGGAUGCUGGCGUAAUGGUAGCUAGUGACCCGUCUUGAAACACGGACCAAGGAGUCAACCUUAUGUGCGAGUGCCCGGGCGUAAAACCCCAGCGCGGAAUGAAAGUGAACGUAGGUGAGAGCUUCGGCGCAUCACCGACCGAUCCUGAUGUCCUCGGACGGAUUUGAGUGAGAGCAUAUAGGGUUGGACCCGAAAGAAGAUGAACUAUGCGUGUGUAGGGUGAAGCCAGAGGAAACUCUGGUGGAGGCUCGCAGCGGUUCUGACGUGCAAAUCGAUCGUCAAACAUGCGCAUGGGGGCGAAAGACUAAUCGAAUCUUCUGGUAGCUGGUUUCCGCCGAAGUUUCCCUCAGGAUAGCAGUGUUGAUCCCAGUUUUAUGAGGUAAAGCGAAUGAUUAGGGACUCGGGGGCGCUAUUUAGCCUUCAUCCAUUCUCAAACUUUAAAUAUGUAAGAAGUCCCCGUUACUUAGUUGAACGCGGACGCUGGAAUGUAGCAACACUAGUGGGCCAUUUUUGGUAAGCAGAACUGGCGAUGCGGGAUGAACCGAACGCGAGGUUAAGGUGCCGGAGUGGACGCUCAUCAGACACCACAAAAGGUGUUAGUACAUCUUGACAGCAGGACGGUGGCCAUGGAAGUCGGAAUCCGCUAAGGACUGUGUAACAACUCACCUGCCGAAUGUACUAGCCCUGAAAAUGGAUGGCGCUCAAGCGUCCCACCCAUACCUCGCCCUCGACGCUGGCUCGGCGCGUCGAGGAGUAGGC